AAAGGUGACUUUCACUUCUACCAAAGUCUUUUUCUAGUGCGAUACUUGUACUUUUACUCGAGUAUUGCUUUCUACUACUUUAUACAACACUGACUGGUUGUGAUGUGACACACUGUUUAUAAAGUACCUUUGAUUUGAUUAUAAUGUUUAAACAUACACAGGAUACACGUGUAAGCUGUCUCAGGCUGGACAGUCGAGUGUCAUCUCCUACAGUACUGACCUCAUGUACAGACGCCUCCAGUGGGUUCCUGAACUCAGAUAGAGAUACAGAGCGGGUACACAAUGAUUGCUUUACCCCAGUACACCAACUGUGCAGCUAUCUGGAAGACCUGCGGAGGCAGCAGAGAGCCAACAUUAUACCAACAUAAAAACUUGGACUGAGAUAAAAAUAAUCCAUAUGAGGUGAUUUUUCACCUGCAGGAGCGCCAGGUCAGCGUCUUGUGCCAGCUGCUGUAGGUUCUUCAUGGCCGAACAGAUCUUGAUGAGUCGUAAGAGAGCAGGAGAGCAGUCGAGUGGGAGUUGAUCCAACAGAGC